CACCACAGUUGGUUCAUUCUAAAAAAACACACAUUUGACAGUUUCUUAAGAGUUUUACAAUUCAUCGAUGUUCCCAGUCAAUUAAGUGUUUCCAAGUCAACGCUAUUUU